AGUUCUCUGGAGAGUCUCGGUUUACUGAGCGCUGAAGGUGUACGGCAUUCUAAAAGAAAAAGGAUGUUAAUCUCUCAAGCAAAAGGACAGAGCGC
rnacentral:ncRNA from 1 species